CACAUGUCUUACAAAUACAUCCUUGCACUUACUAACACAUUUCAUACAAAUAUUCAAUAACUAUCUGCACACAUAAUUAUUAUACACAAAUAUUAAUUUGAAUUCACACACAACUGUAAAUACAUUUCUGCAUUACAAGUAAAUUGACUCUCUGCCAAAUACACCCAGCUUACACACAGUUCAUACAAAAACACUACCAGCUGACAAGCUCUCUGAGGACAAGAUGGCACUGGUAAGCUGUUUGGAGAAAGAAAUGUCACUGAUUAGCAAUUUUGGGACAACAACGACACUGGUCAGCG